rnacentral:rRNA from 1 species
GACGAACGCUGGCGGCGUGCUUAACACAUGCAAGUCGAACGGUGAAGCGCCUUCCUUUUUGGUGGGUGUGGAUGAGUGGCGAACGGGUGAGUAACACGUGAGUAACCUGCCCCCUUCUUCUGGAUAACCGCAUGAAAGUGUGGCUAAUACGGGAUAUUCUGGGUCUGUCGCAUGAUGGGUCUGGGAAAGAUAUUGUUUCGGUGGGGGAUGGGCUCGCGGCCUAUCAGCUUGUUGGUGGGGUGAUGGCCUACCAAGGCGGUGACGGGUAGCCGGCCUGAGAGGGUGGACGGUCACACUGGGACGGAGACACGGACCAGACUCCUACGGGAGGCAGCAGUGGGGAAUAUUGCACAAUGGGCGCAAGCCUGAUGCAGCGACGCCGCGUGAGGGAUGGAGGCCUUCGGGUUGUGAACCUCUUUCGCCAGUGAAGCAGGCCUGCCUCGUUUGUGGGUGGGUUGACGGUAGCUGGAUAAGAAGCGCCGGCUAACUACGUG